CCUUCUUCCUCCUUUUCUUCUUCUUCUCUUUCUAGAGGUAUGAGAGAGUGAGAAGUGAGGGAAAGAGAGAGGGGAAAUUAUAACAAACCAGAUUUUGGUAUAAAAGUAAAAAUAAAUAAAAAUAGUGUGAGAUACUAUUUUCAUUGGAUUUAGAGAAGUAAAACAUAAGUCAGAAAUGACUUGUGCUGAAAUCGGAAUGAAAACAGAAGAUUUAGAAUUUUCUGUUAAAAAGGGACAGAUAAAUUAGCAUAAAAUACAAAGUCUCAGAAAAUUAUGUAAACUGGAGGAUAAGCCAGAAUUAUU
rnacentral:lncRNA from 1 species